rnacentral:rRNA from 1 species
UAAGGAAUAUUGGUCAAUGGACGCAAGUCUGAACCAGCCAUGCCGCGUGGAGGAUUAAGGCCCUCUGGGUUGUAAACUCCUUUUAUCUGGGAAGAAAUGCUUUGAUUCUUCGAAGCUUGACGGUACCAGAGGAAUAAGCACCGGCUAACUCCGUGCCAGCAGCCGCGGUAAUACGGAGGGUGCAAGCGUUAUCCGGAUUCACUGGGUUUAAAGGGUGCGUAGGCGGACAGGUAAGUCAGUGGUGAAAUCUCCGAGCUUAACUCGGAAACUGCCGUUGAUACUAUUUGUCUUGAAUAUUGUGGAGGUAAGCGGAAUAUGUCAUGUAGCGGUGAAAUGCUUAGAUAUGACAUAGAACACCAAUUGCGAAGGCAGCUUACUACGCAGUUAUUGACGCUGAGGCACGAAAGCGUGGGGAUCAAACA